rnacentral:rRNA from 1 species
GACGUAGGAUGCAAGCGUUGUCCGGAUUUAUUGGGCGUAAAGAGCUCGUAGGCGGUUUGUCGCGUCUGCUGUGAAAACUGGAGGCUCAACCUCCAGCCUGCAGUGGGUACGGGCAGACUAGAGUGCGGUAGGGAGAUUGGAAUUCCGUGGUGUAGCGGUGAAUGCGCAGAUAUCGAGGAGGAACACCGAUGCGAAGGCAGA